AGAGGGCAUUAAAUUAAAUGCAAGUCCUUGCUUAGCAAAACCAACCUGGAUAUGAUCAGCUCCAAGUAGUCUCUGGUUACAUUUCAACGCUUCAUGAAGGUAUCUUAAAGCCACAUGGACAUUCCCCAAACCUUCUUCCAUCAUCGCUACAUUAAUAUAAGUGGCAGCAGUAUUUGGAUGUGACGGUCCACAUGUUAGAUGCAGAAGGUACAAUGCACGGUUGACAUACCUACAACAAGAAUAACAUGUUAGCAGAUGGGGAAAAAAUAAACUUUAGGCUUUAACUUUGAAUCAAAAUACUCAAGCCACGCAGCCGCAUCCUAACAUAGUUCUGGAAUGUAAGAAACUUUUAAACUGAAACUCCCUGUAAAUCGUAACUAAUUGAGCACCUGUGUCCGAAGAUCCUCAAGGCCUAAUUUUGCUUGUAGAAUCUGUAGAGUGGUCUGCUCAUGUUGGACGCUCAAGGAGUAUGCUUCCAUCAGAGAAAGAGCAAUAGCAAUGGCAUGGUAACUUGCAGCAGUCUGACAAAAAAGUAAGAUAAGUAAAUUUUUAUCUAAGGGCUUCAUUUUUCUUCCAACGUGAUAUUAACUGAUUAAGCUUAAGGCUUCAUCGCAUGGGAGGUCAGAAUUUAACUAUUAACUUUAGAUCCGGUCUGACUUACAGCCAACUAUUUACUUAUGUUAUCCUUUUUUCCGUGGUUUAUGGACGUCGGUUAGACAGAGGGCGUUAAAUUGCAACCAAUCAAGUGCUUAACAAAACCAACCUGGAUAUGAUCAGCUCCAAGUAGUCUCUGGUUACAUUUCAACGCUUCAUGAAGGUAUCUUAAAGCCACAUGGACAUUCCCCAAACCUUCUUCCAUCAUCGCUACAUUAAUAUAAGUGGCAGCAGUAUUUGGAUGUGACGGUCCACAUGUUAGAUGCAGAAGGUACAAUGCACGGUUGACAUAC
rnacentral:lncRNA from 1 species